UAUUGAAUGCCGAAGACAGCAGGUGCCGUAAGGCGUAAGGUAAAAACACCUGCCGAGGAAUAUGCAAAACUCACACAGGAAUUUUGUAGACCUCUCUGUCGUUCGGACAGAGAGGCCUUUCUAUUUC
rnacentral:sRNA from 1 species